GACGAACGCUGGCGGCGUGCUUAACACAUGCAAGUCGAACGGAAAGGCCCUGCUUUUGUGGGGUGCUCGAGUGGCGAACGGGUGAGUAACACGUGAGUAACCUGCCCUUGACUUUGGGAUAACUUCAGGAAACUGGGGCUAAUACCGGAUAGGAGCUCCUGCUGCAUGGUGGGGGUUGGAAAGUUUCGGCGGUUGGGGAUGGACUCGCGGCUUAUCAGCUUGUUGGUGGGGUAGUGGCUUACCAAGGCUUUGACGGGUAGCCGGCCUGAGAGGGUGACCGGCCACAUUGGGACUGGGAUACGGCCCAAACUCCUACGGGAGGAAGCAGUGGGGAAUAUUGCACAAUGGGCGGAAGCCUGAUGCAGCAACGCCGCGGGCGGGAUGACGGCCUUCGGGUUGUAAACCGCUUUCGCCUGUGACGAAGCGUGAGUGACGGUAAUGGGUAAAGAAGCACCGGCUAACUACGUG
rnacentral:rRNA from 1 species